GCAAGUCGAACGCUGAAGCCCGAAGCUUGCUUCGGGUGGAUGAGUGGCGAACGGGUGAGUAACACGUGAGUAACCUGCCCCUGAUUUCGGGAUAAGCCUGGGAAACCGGGUCUAAUACCGGAUACGACCAUCCCUCGCAUGAGGGUUGGUGGAAAGUUUUUCGAUCGGGGAUGGGCUCGCGGCCUAUCAGCUUGUUGGUGGGGUAAUGGCCUACCAAGGCGACGACGGGUAGCCGGCCUGAGAGGGCGACCGGCCACACUGGGACUGAGACACGGCCCAGACUCCUACGGGAGGCAGCAGUGGGGAAUAUUGCACAAUGGGGGAAACCCUGAUGCAGCGACGCAGCGUGCGGGAUGACGGCCUUCGGGUUGUAAACCGCUUUCAGCAGGGAAGAAGCGAAAGUGACGGUACCUGCAGAAGAAGUACCGGCUAACUACGUGCCAGCAGCCGCGGUAAUACGUAGGGUACGAGCGUUGUCCGGAAUUAUUGGGCGUAAAGAGCUCGUAGGUGG
rnacentral:rRNA from 1 species